GACGAACGCUGGCGGCGUGCUUAACACAUGCAAGUCGAACGAUGACGACCGAGCUUGCUCGGUCUGAUUAGUGGCGAACGGGUGAGUAACACGUGAGCAACCUGCCCUUCACUCUGGGAUAACCUCGGGAAAUCGGGGCUAAUACCGGAUAUGAGCUCCUGUCGCAUGGCGGGUGUUGGAAAGUUUUUCGGUGAAGGAUGGGCUCGCGGCCUAUCAGUUUGUUGGUGAGGUAGUGGCUAACCAAGGCGAUGACGGGUAGCCGGCCUGAGAGGGCGACCGGCCACACUGGGACUGAGACACGGCCCAGACUCCUACGGGAGGCAGCAGUGGGGAAUAUUGCACAAUGGGCGAAAGCCUGAUGCAGCGACGCCGCGUGAGGGAUGACGGCCUUCGGGUUGUAAACCUCUUUCAGCAGGGAAGAAGCGAAAGUGACGGUACCUGCAGAAGAAGCGCCGGCUAACUACGUG
rnacentral:rRNA from 1 species